CGUGCAGGCGGCAGUCUAAGUCUGGCGUGAAAUAUCCCGGCUUAACCGGGGAAGGUCGUCGGAUACUGGGCAGCUCGAGGGCGGUAGAGGCGUGUGGAAUUCCGGGUGUAGUGGUGAAAUGCGUAGAGAUCCGGAGGAACACCAGUGGCGAAGGCGACACGCUGGGCCGCACCUGACGCUAAGACGCGACAGCAUGGGGAGCGAACAGGAUUAGAAACCCUGGUAGUCCAUGCCGUAAACGAUGCCAGCUGGGUGUUUGGAAGGGGAAACCCUUCUGGGUACCGAAGUCAACACGGUAAGCUGGCCGCCUGGGGAGUACGGUCGCAAGAUUAAA
rnacentral:rRNA from 1 species